rnacentral:rRNA from 1 species
CCAGCAGCCGCGGUAAUUCCAGCUCUAAUAGUGUAUAUUAAAGUUGUUGCAGUUAAAAAGCUCGUAGUUGAACUUCUGGCCGUGGCUAGAGUUGGCUUUGGUCGCUCUAGUCGCGGUCAUCCGUCUGCAAACCAUAUUCGGUCUUCACUGGUCGAUAUGGGGAGUAGACAUUUUACCUUGAAAAAAUUAGAGUGUUUAAGGCAGGCUUUUGCCAGAAUACAUUAGCAUGGAAUAAUGGAAUAGGACUCGUCCAUUUUGUUGGUUAUUGAAACGAGUAAUGAUUAAAAGGGACAGUUGGGGGCAUUAGUAUUUAAUUGUCAGAGGUGAAAUUCUUGGAUUUAUUA